UAUGCCCAUAUCAUGUUGAAACAAUAGUUCCCAUAUGAUCACUGAAGUUAAGCAAUGUCAAGCCUGGUCAGUACCUAGAUGGGUGACCCGCUUUGGAAUACUGGCUGGUGUA